rnacentral:misc_RNA from 1 species
UGUUAGAUGUUAAUUUUCAUUAAGCUUAAGGUUCUACGGAAAAAGGCGAAAUUCGCCCCUAAAGGCUUCAAUGUCUGAAUGAAAAAAGGCACUAUGGUAAAGAGGUAGUUGAAAAAUGGGAGGGAGCUGGCCUCUACAAGUUGUUGAUUGAGAUAGAUUAGCGUAUUGACUUUCGAUUGAUAUACCUCAUUAAGCAUAUGGUUUUACGGAAAAUGGCUAAAUUUGUCGAAAACUAUCUCGUUUUUGUUAUAAACCGUAUAUUAGAAAUGGCGACGUGCGCCACUUCCGUCGCCGACGCCAUUUGGACGCCAUGUUGCCCGAGAUUUGAGCGCUUGUACGCCUUGGCUUCUAAAUUUCAAGAUGAAUAUUGAAGGCAGAAGACGGCGUUGUGCAUAUGGGGGGCACUCACUGAUUUCAAGUGAGUCGGAAGUGCCAAAAUUGAACAAGAUUGGUUCCAAGUACGUUUCGAAGUCCGUCAUUCAGGCCCUGGGAAUGGGUGACCCUGGCAAGCUUGCUGGACGAUACCUGUGUCAUAAGUGUAUUUCCUAUGGCAGGUCGCAGAUGAAAAUUGUUCAGGAGAGCCAGCGCCAUUCCGGAUCUGAAAAUGCUCUGCAUGUCAGCAUUGUCUGGAGAUUGCAAUAUCCUAAUCAAUCACUACCCUCUAAUGACCAACGGGUAUAUGCUCAGCACAUCAUCAUAUCACCGUUCCACACACCAUCACAUUACAAACAUCAUCACGCACCAAUUAGUAUGCGUUUCUGCUCUGAAAUGGGUACAUUUCAAUGCUGUUCACAACCAUUAAAUCACAUGUUCAAUCCACUCCUGUUCGUCUGCUCAGUCACCCGGAGACCUUGACCUACUCCUGGUCCUCUACGCCCGCCAGCGCCGCUUCGUCUGCGGCCCCCGCCAGCGCCGCUUCGUCUGCGGUGCCGACCAGCGCCGCUUCGUCUGCGGCCCCCGCCAGCGCCGCUUCGUCUGCGGUGCCGACCAGCGCCGCUUCGUCUGCGGUGCCGACCAGCGCCGCUUCGUCUGCGGUGCCGACCAGCGCCGCUUCGUCUGCGGCCCCCGCCAGCGCCGCUUCGUCUGCGGUGCCGACCAGCGCCGCUUCGUCUGCGGCCCCCGCCAGCGCCGCUUCGUCUGCGGUCCCCGCCAGCGCCGCUUCGUCUGCGGUGCCGACCAGCGCCGCUUCGUCUGCGGCCCCCGCCAGCGCCGCUUCGUCUGCGGUCCCCGCCAGCGCCGCUUCGUCUGCGGUGCCGACCAGCGCCGCUUCGUCUGCGGUCCCCGCCAGCGCCGCUUCGUCUGCGGUGCCGACCAGCGCCCUUCUGCAUGGUACCUCGCCUGAUGUAGCCACGCAGGGCGGAGAGUGGAGGGGAUUGUGUUUAUCUAUUGGUCAUCAUGCAUCAGCAGUGUGCGUCCAUCUUGUGCUCCACUGACCUAGGCGCAGUUCCAUGCUGUUCAUUGCCAUGCAGUCCCAUGUUCAAUCCACUCCUGUUCGUCUCCUCAGUCACCCGGAGACCUUGGCCUACUCCUGGUCCUCUACGCCCGCCAGCGCCUCUUCGUCUGCGGCCCCCGCCAGCGCCGCUUCGUCUGCGGUCCCCGCCAGCGCCGCUUUGUCUGCGGUGCCGACCAGCGCCCUUCUGCAUGGCACCUCGCCUGAUGUAGCCACGCAGGGCGGAGAGUGGAGGUGAGCUACAGAGAACGUCUCCGAAAGGAGCAGCCUACCUGCAGCCGGGAGGCCAAGCGUGCGCGCCUGUACGUGCAUCCUGGUGAUUAGACUUCAGCGUGGCCCUGCUUUGUGUGCCGCGCCGGCUGUGGCGGAAGCCGGCGGCGGCGUGCCACAAGACUUCAGCGUGGCCUCGCUUUGUGUGCUGCGCUGGCUGUGGCGGGAGCCGGCGGCGGCGUGCCGCAAGACUUUAGCGUGGCCUCGCUU